AUUGAACGCUGGCGGCAUGCCUUACACAUGCAAGUCGAACGGCAGCGCGGACUUCGGUCUGGCGGCGAGUGGCGAACGGGUGAGUAAUACAUCGGAACGCACCCUGUUGUGGGGGAUAACUAGUCGAAAGAUUAGCUAAUACCGCAUACGACCUGAGGGUGAAAGUGGGGGACCGCAAGGCCUCACGCAGCAGGAGCGGCCGAUGUCUGAUUAGCUAGUUGGUGGGGUAAAGGCCCACCAAGGCGACGAUCAGUAGCUGGUCUGAGAGGACGAUCAGCCACACUGGGACUGAGACACGGCCCAGACUCCUACGGGAGGCAGCAGUGGGGAAUUUUGGACAAUGGGGGCAACCCUGAUCCAGCAAUGCCGCGUGUGUGAAGAAGGCCUUCGGGUUGUAAAGCACUUUUGUCCGGAAAGAAAUCGCGCUGGUUAAUACCUGGCGUGGAUGACGGUACCGGAAGAAUAAGCACCGGCUAACUACGU
rnacentral:rRNA from 1 species